AUUGAACGCUGGCGGCAUGCCUUACACAUGCAAGUCGAACGGCAGCACGGGAGCAAUCCUGGUGGCGAGUGGCGAACGGGUGAGUAAUGUAUCGGAACGUGCCCAGUCGUGGGGGAUAACGCAGCGAAAGCUGUGCUAAUACCGCAUACGAUCUAUGGAUGAAAGCGGGGGACCGUAAGGCCUCGCGCGAUUGGAGCGGCCGAUAUCAGAUUAGGUAGUUGGUGAGGUAAAGGCUCACCAAGCCGACGAUCUGUAGCUGGUCUGAGAGGACGACCAGCCACACUGGGACUGAGACACGGCCCAGACUCCUACGGGAGGCAGCAGUGGGGAAUUUUGGACAAUGGGCGCAAGCCUGAUCCAGCAAUGCCGCGUGCAGGAUGAAGGCCUUCGGGUUGUAAACUGCUUUUGUACGGAGCGAAAAGGCUUCCACUAAUACUGGGGGCUCAUGACGGUACCGUAAGAAUAAGCACCGGCUAACUACGUGCCAGCAGCCGCCGUAAUAC
rnacentral:rRNA from 1 species